rnacentral:lncRNA from 1 species
GGAAGAUGAUGGAGGACACACCCACUGUUCCAACCAAGGAAUGCUGCUUGUUUUCAUGCUGCUGUCUGGAGGGAGAGCCAAGAGUCCUCCUGGGGAGGAAAGUGUGAAGAACUGAAUGUCUAAAUAAAGGCUGUUCUCUGCGCACCUUGCAUCACACAAGUACCCUCCUGCUGUAUGGAACCUUCCUGCUUGCUCAGAAAAAAUAGACCCAGCCAGUCUGCCAUCAUCCGAUCCCUGCAAGGGAAUGUGCCACCCAUGGUGGGCUCAUCUUUCCACCUCAAUUAAUUCCAUCAGGAUUGGCUACCUUCUACUGCAUCUGGCAUGACCCUGAGCCCAUCUCCCAGGUGAUCUGAGAUUCUGUUGACAGUUAACGUUAACCAUGGCACUCACCUUCCAUAGCUGAGCCCACCUUUCUUCCUAAUGAUUGCAUCAAUCCAGGCAUAAGCCUCUGCUUUGUCAAGAAGUUUCAGAAACAUAGCUUCACUUCUGCAAUGACAUUUGUACAACAAGAAGGAUCCCCGUUAUC